UACGUAGGGAGCAAGCGUUGUCCGGAAUCAUUGGGCGUAAAGAGCGUGUAGGCGGCCAGGUAGGUCUGCUGUGAAAACUCGAGGCUUAACCUCGAGCUGUCGGCGGAAACCAUCUGGCUAGAGUCCGGAAGAGGAGAAUGGAAUUCCCGGUGUAGCGGUGAAAUGCGCAGAUAUCGGGAAGAACACCCGUGGCGAAGGCGGUUCUCUGGGACGGUACUGACGCUGAGACGCGAAAGCGUGGGGAGCGAACAGG
rnacentral:rRNA from 1 species